AAACAUGCAAGUCGAGCGGUAGAGAGGAGCUUGCUUCUCUUGAGAGCGGCGGACGGGUGAGUAAUGCCUAGGAAUCUGCCUAGUGGUGGGGGAUAACGUUCGGAAACGGACGCUAAUACCGCAUACGUCCUACGGGAGAAAGCGGGGGACCUUCGGGCCUCGCGCCAUUAGAUGAGCCUAGGUCGGAUUAGCUAGUUGGUGAGGUAACGGCUCACCAAGGCGACGAUCCGUAACUGGUCUGAGAGGAUGAUCAGUCACACUGGAACUGAGACACGGUCCAGACUCCUACGGGAGGCAGCAGUGGGGAAUAUUGGACAAUGGGCGAAAGCCUGAUCCAGCCAUGCCGCGUGUGUGAAGAAGGUCUUCGGAUUGUAAAGCACUUUAAGUUGGGAGGAAGGGUAGUAACUUAAUACGUUGCUAUUUUGACGUUACCGACAGAAUAAGCACCGGCUAACUCUGUGCCAGCAGCCGCGGUAAUACAGAGGGUGCAAGCGUUAAUCGGAAUUACUGGGCGUAAAGCGCGCGUAGGUGGUUUGUUAAGUUGGAUGUGAAAGCCCCGGGCUCAACCUGGGAACUGCAUCCAAAACUGGCAAGCUAGAGUACGGUAGAGGGUGGUGGAAUUUCCUGUGUAGCGGUGAAAUGCGUAGAUAUAGGAAGGAACACCAGUGGCGAAGGCGACCACCUGGACUGAUACUGACACUGAGGUGCGAAAGCGUGGGGAGCAAACAGGAUUAGAUACCCUGGUAGUCCACGCCGUAAACGAUGUCAACUAGCCGUUGGGAGUCUUG
rnacentral:rRNA from 1 species